rnacentral:rRNA from 1 species
UACGGAGGGCGCAAGCGUUGGUCGGAAUCACUGGGCGUAAAGCGCGUGUAGGCGGCUUGGCAAGUCGGGUGUGAAAUCCCGGGGCUCAACCCCGGAACUGCAUUCGAUACUGCCUGGCUCGAGUCUCGGAGAGGGUGGCGGAAUUCCCGGUGUAGAGGUGAAAUUGGUAGAUAUCGGGAGGAACACCAGCGGCGAAGGCGGCCUCCUGGACGGUGACUGACGCUGAGACGCGAAAGCGUGGGGAGCAAACAGG